rnacentral:lncRNA from 1 species
CUCCAACUAGACCUCCCCCUUUCUCAAAGUUCUGCUACUGCAAGCAGACAGCUUGUCUCCCUGCUGGGAUAGCAGCCAGGGACUCCACUCUCCUGUGGAUGACUACAGCCAGCAGGCUCCCAGAGGAGCCCAGCUCAGCCUCAGCUCUCACCUGUGUGUGCUGCCUUUUUGUUUCUCCUCUCUCUAAACUGAAGCCUGAGACAGAACCAGUGUCUGGUUAGAGGGUCGGGGCCCUAGAAGUCGUUUCCUUUUUACUCAUCAACCCCAAACUGUGGGUGGGCAGAGGUCCUGGAGAGGAGCCUGAAGUCCACACAGGUGCUCCCAGGGCUUGCUGCCUGCAGACUCCACCAGUAUCCAGUGUCUGCUACUGGGAUAUAGACUUCCAAAUCAAGCAGAUAAGCUUCCAAGAGGUGGUGCUUCUUGGCUCGACUUUGAUCUUCCCGGACUCAUUUUCUCAUCUUCUCCUAUGGGCAAACCCACCUCACACCAUCAGGUGCUACAAGGUGCCAGGAAUGCAAAGAUGAUUGGAAUGGUCCUAUUUUCAAGGACGGUGUAAGAGAGGAAACUUAGACUUAAUCCACCAGAGGAAGAAGACAAGCAGAUUCAUCAUGCUGGAAGGCCAUCUUGAGCGGGGGAAGGGCAGGAAGGAAAGAGAAUUCCAUAGAAGGAACAGAGAAACUGAGGAGAUCCAGACAGUUGAAUUCAUUUCUCUUUGGGAAGCCCACCAGGGAGGUCGAUUUGAGUGAACCUCUGAGCCUUGAGCAUCCUCCUGUGAAACAAGACCCCAGUGUCCAGUGAAGACAACCCAGUGAAUAGAACUUUGCCAGAAAACUAUUCACCACAAGAAGAAUUCCUCUAAAUCCCUCUAAACAGUCCUUGAACUUGAUACUAGCUAGAACAGCUAGGAGUCAGGACAGCUCUCACAACUGAUCCCAGGCAGGAUGUUUGGGGAGAAGGAGUUCAAUUGUUAUUAUUAGGGACUUCCUAUAUUCCACCUUCCCAAUUGCCUUAUCCCACAAUUCAGUUGCCCUACCUUUCAUACCUUUCUUUAGAAUAAAUAGCCGUUUACUAGAUCCA